rnacentral:rRNA from 1 species
CCUACGGGUGGCAGCAGUGGGGAAUUUUGGACAAUGGGGGCAACCCUGAUCCAGCCAUGCCGCGUGCGGGAAGAAGGCCUUCGGGUUGUAAACCGCUUUUGUCAGGGAAGAAAUCUUCCGAGCUAAUACCUUGGGAGGAUUACGGUACCUGAAGAAUAAGCACCGGCUAACUACGUGCCAGCAGCCGCGGUAAUACGUAGGGUGCAAGCGUUGCUCGGAAUUACUGGACGCGGUGCGUGAGCAGGGGGUUGAAAUCCCCGGGCUUAACCUGGGAACUGAACUUGUGACUGUACGGCUGGAGUACGGCAGAGGGGGAUGGAAUUCCGCGUGUAGCAGUGAAAUGCGUAGAUAUGCGGAGGAACACCGAUGGCGAAGGCAGUCCCCUGGGCCUGUACUGACGCUCAUGCACGAAAGCGUGGGGAGCAAACAGGAUUAGAUACCCCUGUAGUC